GCAAAGAGUAAGAGAGGAUAUAAUCAUGUCUGAUCGUAUGCAGUCGUCGAAAACAAAUCAAUGUUCUCACAUAUCAAAUAGUAAUGCUUCUGAAAUCAAAGAACAAGAUGAAGACAAGGAGAACAUUGAUUUGAAACACUAUAGUAAUAGAAAUCCCCUAACUACAUCCACUGACAAUAGCCGUUCAUUUGAUGCAAGUAGACAGCUGAAAAAGUCUUGGGAGAUCCGAGCAUUUUUGACUACUAUUAUAAUUGCUUUCCAAACUAUAAUAUUAACAGGGCCUUUUGUAGCUUCGUUUUGGAUAGAGGUGUUCUCGAAUGCACCAUUAACAUUUCAGGUUCGACUUCUGCUAUUUAUUCCAAAUUUGAUCAAUUCCAUAUCCAACC
rnacentral:lncRNA from 1 species